UAGGGAAUCUUCCGCAAUGGACGCAAGUCUGACGGAGCAACGCCGCGUGAGUGAAGAAGGAUUUCGGUUCGUAAAACUCUGUUGUUAGAGAAGAACAGCGCAUAGAGUAACUGUUAUGCGUGUGACGGUAUCUAACCAGAAAGGGACGGCUAACUACGUGCCAGCAGCCGCGGUAAUACGUAGGUCCCGAGCGUUGUCCGGAUUUAUUGGGCGUAAAGCGAGCGCAGGCGGUUAGAUAAGUCUGAAGUUAAAGGCAGUGGCUCAACCAUUGUAGGAUUUGGAAACUGUUUAACUUGAGUGCAGAAGGGGAGAGUGGAAUUCCAUGUGUAGCGGUGAAAUGCGUAGAUAUAUGGAGGAACACCGGUGGCGAAAGCGGCUCUCUGGUCUGUAACUGACGCUAAGGCUCGAAAGCGUGGGGAGCGAACAGG
rnacentral:rRNA from 1 species